CCUACGGGGGGCAGCAGUGGGGGAUAUUGCACAAUGGGGGAAACCCUGAUGCAGCGACGCCGCGUGUGGGAAGACGGUCCUCUGGAUUGUAAACCACUGUCCUCAGGGACGAAGUUGACGGUACCUUGGGAGGAAGCUCCGGCUAACUACGUGCCAGCAGCCGCGGUAAUACGUAGGGAGCGAGCGUUGUCCGGAAUUACUGGGUGUAACGGGAGCGUAGGCGGGGAUGCAUGUUGGGUGUCAAAACUACCGGCUCAACUGGUAGUCGCACUCAAAACUGCAGCUCUUGAGUGAAGUAGAGGCAAGCGGAAUUCCUAGUGUAGCAGUGAAAUGCGUAGAUAUUAGGAGGAACACCAGUGGCGAAGGCGGCCUGCUGGACUUUUACUGACGCUGAGGCUCGAAAGUGUGGGGAGCAAACAGGAUUAGAUACCCCAGUAGUC
rnacentral:rRNA from 1 species